GAUUUGAGGCUACUGCUGCCAGGCUAGCUAUGUGGCUGGCCAGACCAAGGGCCAGUGUGACUGUGAAGCAGCAUCAUGAGAGGGGUAAAACCAAGGAACAGACUGCAUGAGCCCUUGGGCCCCUUCCAGCUCUAAUACUCCAUGGUGAUGGCAGCCCUGCCCUUCUCUGAAGAUCUCAAAAUGCCUGACACCUGUGUCCUUCCGCACUGCCCUGGGAAGGAGAAUAAGGAUGGCAGAAGCUCUCCGGAGGAUCCAGGUGGUGCAUGCAUUUGACAUCUUCCAGAUGCUGGAUGUGCUGCAGGAGCUCCGAGGCACUGUGGCCCAGCAGGUGACUGGUUCUUCAGGAACUGUGAAGGUGGUGGUUGUGGACUCGGUCACUGCGGUGGUUUCCCCACUUCUGGGAGGUCAGCAGAGGGAAGGCUUGGCCUUGAUGAUGCAGCUGGCCCGAGAGCUGAAGACCCUGGCCCGGGACCUUGGCAUGGCAGUGGUGGUGACCAACCACAUAACUCGAGACAGGGACAGCGGGAGGCUCAAACCUGCCCUCGGACGCUCCUGGAGCUUUGUGCCCAGCACUCGGAUUCUCCUGGACACCAUCGAGGGAGCAGGAGCAUCAGGCGGCCGGCGCAUGGCGUGUCUGGCCAAAUCUUCCCGACAGUCUAUUGACUCAGAGGACAGCUUUGUCCCAGGCCGAAGGGCCUCUCUGUCUGACCUGACUGACCUGGAGGACAUUGAAGGCCUGACAGUGCGGCAGCUGAAAGAGAUCUUGGCUCGCAACUUUGUCAACUACAAGGGCUGCUGUGAGAAGUGGGAGCUGAUGGAGAGAGUGACCCGGCUAUACAAGGAUCAGAAAGGACUCCAGCACCUGGGGGGAGCAGUACCAUCAGGCUUGGAGGAGAACCUGUGUAAGAUCUGCAUGGACUCACCCAUUGACUGUGUUCUUCUGGAGUGUGGCCACAUGGUAACCUGUACCAAGUGUGGCAAGCGCAUGAAUGAAUGUCCCAUCUGCCGGCAGUAUGUAAUCCGAGCUGUGCAUGUCUUCCGGUCCUGAGAGCUUGCAUCGGUUUCUUCAGUGCCUUACAGGGAAAUAGCCUGGGGUGUCUGGGCUCAGGGUUGGCCAGCUUGCAGAGGAGCAAGCUAGUAGAAAUAUUGCAGGGUUCCCAAAACCAGGUCAAGCAAGAUGCCAUGUCACCCCUGAGCAUGCCUGUCUUCCCAGGGGUGUACCUCUUGGCUGGCAAAGCCCAAGGCCAGUGGGAACUUGUAUAAAUCACAUGGGUAUGUUCUUGGUUCAGUGAUCUUGGAGUGAUGAUGGUAACUGAUGAACAGAGAACUUUCCAGAACUUGGGUCCUGUCUUCCUCCCUGAACCUAGACAGUUUCACCCCUCCUCCUGUACCCAACCCAUCCCCACCCCAUAUGGGAGAUGCUUGCCCAUGUGUUUCAUCAAUCAGAAGUCCUCCUCCCCAGCACAUUCGGAUUUAAAUUUCUGGUCUCUCCGGCUUUCUGUGCUUUAACUAUCUUUGCUAAAGUCUCUUGCUACAUUGCCUAAAUCCAUUUGUUUCUUUGGACCAAAAAUGUUAGUUUACCAGACCGAUAGUGGUCCUUAGGACAGAUUUUAGACCAGUAAACUUAUCUUUGGUGAGAAAUGAAAUACAAAUGCUAUAGAAAAAUUUCAAAGUUGUUAAAAGCCACUUCAUUAAAUGCUGGGAUUGGAAGCUGUUGGUCUCCUGACCUGACUCUGGGAGCCAACAAAACAUCAGGCUCCCAAACUGCUGGGAAAUUUGUUUCUGUCUGCAAGGGAUAGUGCGUGCAUAAUCCCUGCUGCUGCUUCUCUUGGGACCUGAUUUGCACCAUCCUUAGUUUAUGCGGAAAGGGGAAGCAAUGGGUGGAGGCAGUGGCCUUCUCCUUAAUUUUGGCUUGGCUUCUGAUCCUUUUCCCAACUAGAAGUCUUAAGCCACUUUUCGCUGAAAAUGAAAUCCCUCCCUUAUCCAUGGUAGUUUUAAAUUUGGUUUCAUUGAAGAAAUAGAUUUAGGCAAAGAGCCUGUGCUCUUCUCUGGCCAGACUGCUGUUGAAGUUCCUGGAGAGCAAAUGUUAAGACAGAGCACUUAAGAGCUUUCAGGAGGUACUGAAUGAGACUGGAUUCUGUUGUAAGCCGACAGUUCAAGUCUUUAUUUCCCAGGUUGGUGGGGAGUGAGGAGACCCUACUUUCAUUCCCUUUCCUAGCCCACUGAUUUUUGGGGGCAGGUCAGGGAGAAAGCAUUUUUUUUUUUUUUUUGAGUCUCACUCUGUUGCCCAGGCUGGAGUGCAGUGGUACAGUCUUGGCUUACUGCAACCUCCACCUCCCAGGUUCAAGCUAUUCUCCUGCCUUAGCCUCCAGAGUAGCUGGGAUUAUAGGCGCCCACCACCACACCAGGCUAAUUUUUGUAUUUUUAGUAGAGACGGGGUUUUACCAUGUUCACCAGGCUGGUCUUGAACUCUUGACCUUAUGAUCCGCCCGCCUCAGCUUCCCAAAGUGCUGGGAUUACAGGCGUGAGCCACCACACCCAGCAGGAGAAACCAUUUUCUAGGCUCUUUAGGAAGGACCAUGCAAUGAGUAGGUGAUGUAUUUGAGCCCUCACAGUCUUUACACCCCUAGAGGAGCUGGAGGACUUAAGAGUUUGCUGCAGAAGCGUGGCCAAGCACAAAACACAUGAUCAGGAAAGCAGAGUGUUUUCCCAUUACCAAUGGAUGAACUAUGCAAACCCUAAACGCCUUGGCAGACACCUCCCACCCCUUACCCCUCCCAUGCAGCUGAAAAAUCUGAGACUAGAACCAAUCAUGACUCUGGAUGGCAGAGGGAAACCUCUAAAGGGACUUAUUACAUUGGUACAGACAUAUUUAUGCUUUCUUCCAUCACCAACCACUAAACCCCUUUGGAGGAAUGAAAUAACUGCAUAAACUAGUCAACUGAACACUGGGCCACUUACCUCAAUGUUAUACAAAGUCCUGGAUGAUUUGAUUCUGAACCACAGCCUUUGCAGGAGUUGGGGGAAUCAGAUUUGCUCAUGAAGACAUCCCUUUCCACUUUUGUCAUGGGCAGUAAAUACUAUAGUUUACAAUGCCUACCAAUUAGCAAAGGAUCAUUCAUUCAGCUACUCAGUUCCUCUGUAAAACAGGUCUAUGUAUGUGCAAUUCAGCUAAGAUCUAGCAGUAACUUAAGGGCAGAAGCUGGCUCUCUACUUACAACCUGCUUUCUCUGCUGAAGCCUUACCUCCUCUUCAGUUUCCCUCCUAGACACAAAUCGAAAAUAAUAUACUGAUAGCUGGUUAGUAACCUCAGUAAGAAUUAAAACUGAGGUUGUUUACUCAUUUUGCCUUUAAAUCUUUUAUCCCCUUUUGGUGAAGGUUUCCCUUUAGGAAAAAAGGUGUCAAACAACCCUGAUUUUUUUUUUUUUUGCAUCAUUUUUAUUACACCAAAUUAAAGUUGGGAGUUCCAAGAUCCCAUUCCAGUUAAUAUUUAACCAAGGUCUAAAAUUUGAUUUUUUUUAAAUCUUUGAAUCCUCCCUUCUGCCCCUCAUGGAUCCUUGGUUUUAAUGAUAUGGAAACAUCUAAUUCUUAGAAUUAUUCCGUAGCUUUUGCUGAUUACUCUGAGAUUUCAGUUAAGACUUGUUUCAAAAGACAGAUAGCUGACUGGUUCAUAAUACAUUGGAAUAGUUGGAUCCAAACUAAUAAGAAUAAGCUGUACAGGAACUAGUGCUCAAUAUACAUUGUAUAAAUUUGUGGAAAUCUCUUGGAUGUGAAUUGUUACUUCAAGUGGCUUUUAUUAAGAUUUUCUCAGACUUACUUGGAGGUUAAAGCAAACCCAAAUGUGUAUUAUUUUGUUACAGAGCUCUGCUUUAUAAUUUUGUAAUAAAGUUUCAAUACAGACACC